rnacentral:piRNA from 1 species
UGCUGGUGAACAGAGGCAUGGCCAC